AUAAAAAAAAUUAUUUAUUUGAAUAAUUUAAUUUAUAUUUAAAAUUAAAAUAUUAUUUUUUAUUAUUAUUAUGAAAAAAUUCUUUUUAAUUAUAGAUAAUUAGUAUUUUAUUAGAAUUUAAUUAUAUAAAUAAAAGAAAAAUUUAUUUUUUGUACCUUGUGUAUCAGGGUUGAUUAAUUAAUAAUUAUUAAUUUAAUUUUCUCGAAUUAAUUAGAGCUAAUUUAAUAUAUUUAAUAUUGUUAAAUAAAUAUAUAAAAUAUUAAUUUAGUAAUGAAAUGUUAUUCGUUUAUUAAUAUAUCUAGUUUUUUAAGAAAAAAAUUUAAUUUUAAUUUUAAGAAUAUAAUUUUAAAUUUUUCAUUUUAUAUUAUUAAAAUUCAAUAUUUUUAGGGAUGAGCUUAAAAGUAAAAAAUUAUAAAUUUUUUAUUUUAAUUAUUAAAUAUGUAAAAUUAAAAAUAUUUAUCAAAAAAAUUUUGUUAUAAUUUGUUUAAUUUAUUUUAUAAUUUAUAUUAAUUUUAAUUUUUUUAUUAAAAUAUUAAUUUAAAUUUUUUUAAUUAAGUAAUAAUGAUUAAAUUAGUAAAAUUAUUUUUAUAUAGUAUAAUAAAAAUAAGAUUAUAUUAAGGAAUUCGGCAAAUAUAAUUUUCACCUGUUUAAUAAAAACAUGUCCUAUUGAUUAAUAUUUUAGGUCUAACCUGCCCAUUGAAUUUAAUUUAAAAGGCCGCGGUAUUUUGACCGUGCAAAGGUAGCAUAAUCAUUAGUUUUUUAAUUGAAAGCUGGUAUGAAGGGUUGAAUGAAAAAUUAACUGUCUCAAUAUAAUUAAUUGAAUUUUAUUUUUAAGUUAAAAAGCUUAAAUAUUUUUAAAAGACGAGAAGACCCUAUAGAGUUUUAUAUUAAUAGUAGUUUUAAUUUUAUAGAAUUUAGAAAUUAAUUUUAUUAUUUUAUUUAAUUGGGGUGAUUGAAAAAUUUAUAUAACUUUUUUUAUAUUUUAACAAUGAUAUUUGAAUUUAUGAUCCAAAAAUUUUGAUUAUAAGAAUUAAUUACCUUAGGGAUAACAGCGUAAUUUUUUUUGAGAGUUCUUAUUGAUAAAAAAGAUUGCGACCUCGAUGUUGGAUUAAAAUUUAUUAUUGGUGUAGAAGCUAUAUAAUUAAGUCUGUUCGACUUUUAAAAUUUUACAUGAUCUGAGUUUAAACCGGUGUAAGCCAGGUUGGUUUCUAUCUUUAAAAAAGUUAAUAUAUUUUAGUACGAAAGGACCAUUUAUAUAAUUAAAAAUUUAAUUUAGAAUAAAAAU
rnacentral:rRNA from 1 species